CGGCGGACGGGUGAGGAACACGUGGGAAUCUACCUAUUGGUGGGGGAUAACUUGGGGAAACUCAAGGUAAUACCGCAUUAGCCCUACGGGGGAAAGCAGGGGACCUUCGGGCCUUGCGCCGAUAGAUGAGCCCGCGUCGGAUUAGCUAGUUGGUAGGGUAAAGGCCUACCAAGGCGACGAUCCGUAGCUGGUCUGAGAGGAUGAUCAGCCACACUGGGACUGAGACACGGCCCAGACUCC
rnacentral:rRNA from 1 species